UCUGCAGGGGAAAAUGCAGUCAAGCCCGGCAAAGGGGCUAGAGGGUCUCAGGGAGGGACGGCACCUUGGGCUCUGACACGGGGGCACAGCCUCAGGUUCACCGAAGCCCAUGAAGAGAAGAACCGGAGGUGGGGCUGCGGUGCCGAUGCCAGGGGAUACGGCCUGGAAGGGGCGGAGGCACCAAGAGGCCCCUGACCAGGUGAGGGGGUCAGACCCAGGACCUCACGCCAAGGGGCUGAGGAUCAGACAGGCAACGCUGGUGCAGGGAGGCUGGCGGCUGGUGCAGGGAGGCUGGCGGCAGGGAAGAGGCUGGCGGGCACCGUCUGGAGCUGAGCACACGGCGCAGGCAGCCAACACAGCACAGCCAGGGUCACAGCCAGAACACGGAGUUGGUGUGCCACCGCCACCCCGAGCACGGCCUCUCCACCUCCCUCCCCCAGAAGGCGUGACGAUCUCUCCACACAGUAGCCAGAGUGAACACCUUGAACAGAAUUCAGAUCCUGGCACUCCUGCUCCAAAUCCUGUGAGGUUGCUGAUUAUCAAUGGAAUAAAACGUGACCAUGACCUAGGGGCCGGCGCUGUGGCAUAGUAGGCUAAGCCUCUGUCUGUGCCACCGGCAUCCCACAUGGACGCCGGUUCAAGGCCCAGCUGCUUCUCCCCUGAUCCGGCUCUCUGCUGUGGCCUGGGAAAGCAGUGGAAGAUGGCCCAAGUGCUUGGGCCCCUGUGCCCGCGUGGGAGACCUACAAGCAGCUCCUGGCUCCCGGCUUCAGACUGGCCCAGCUCCGGCCACUGCAGCCACUUGGGGAGUGAACCAGCGAUGGAAGACCUUUCUGUCUGCCUCUAUUACUCUACCUCUCAAAUGAAUAAAUAAAAUCUUUUUUUAAAAAAUGCUACCAUGACCUGAAGGGUCCAUACUCUGGUCCUUAGGAAAUCCCUCCGCGCUGCUGUCCAGAGCACCGUCUGCUUUCUUCCUUGAACAUGCGAAGCUCGACUUCUGCCUCCCGACAAGAAGCAGCCACCAGAUUUAUCCCGAAGCUGAUGCCAAAAACCACCAGAAACUGGAUAAAAUACACAGGGGUGCACAGCCUGGUGGUGGUGUGCUCCCCAAGGAGGCGGGGUCCCUGGUCUGGCAGUAUAGAAAUGGUAAAGUGCGAGGUGUGGGGGUGCUGCCCCCCGAAGAGAUGAAGCAGUACCCCUCAGUCAGCGCUGGAAAGACUGAGCUGUUACAAAAGCCAGAGCCGCACCCCCGGUGCCCCCUCUGGCUUCCUGUCUUGCAGUGAGAUCCCCAAGCCCACCCCGGCCCCGCCGGAUACCACCGUCCUCAGGCCCUCACCAGAGGCAGAAGCAAUGGGCAGCUGGGUCUGCAACGUUUGGUCUCUACAACGGUGCGCUAAAUAAACCUCUUCUCUUAGUACGUUUCACUUAAUAAUGAAAAGGAGAUGAACACAAGUAGCUUUCAAGACACUAGACGUGGAGCCGUGAAGGCCAAAGAGUCUCCCGGCACAGGAAACAAGCGAGGUUAACCCUUCGGCUGUCCCGGUACCUGCCCUGAGCUUCCAGCCACGGAACCCAGAGGAGACCUGGGACAGCUAAGAGGACCCCUUGAGCUCGGGGAAUGGAGCUCCGAGUCCAGGGAGUCCAGGGCAGCCAGAGGCCCCAAGACUGAGAACGGGAGAGGACUCGGCCCACAGAGGUCCAGCACACGCACGAGGAAAGGACCAGGCUAGGCAAAGCCCCAGCAGAAAGGACCAGUGCCGACGGAGCCUGCUGCCCACUCAGGAUGCGAGGAGCGCUGGCGCCACUCGCCAGACGGAAACCCGACUCCCAGGGUGUGAGGCCGCAGAUACAGGAGACAUGUGCCCCUUACGAAGAGGAUCCAGUGUGGCCUUGACACAGUGAGACGCCAAUGGGAACACGGAAGUCCAGACCCAACAACGGUGCAUCUCACAGAAACCAUCACGCACGCAAAGACACAAGAAAACGCAACCCAUAGGGGCCAGUGCUGUGGUACAGCAGGUAGAGCCACGGCCUGCAGUGCCGCCAUCCCACAUGGGCGCCGCUUCAGGUCCUGGCUGCUCCACUUCCGAUCCAGCUCUCUGCUGUGGCCUGCGACAGCAGUGGAAGAUGGCCAGGUCCUUGGGUCCCUGCACCCACGUGGGAGACCCCUAAGAAGCUCCUGGCUCCUGGCUUUGGAUCAGCGCAGCUCCGGCCAUUGCAGCCAUCUGGGGAGUGAACCAGCAGAUGGAAGACCUCUCUCUCUCUCUCUACCUCUCUCUGUAACUCUUUCAAAUAAAUAAAAUAAAUCUUAGAAAAAAAAAGAAAAAUGUUACAUGUUUUAAUGUCAGAAUACAUAUUAUGGAAGAAAAUGUUAAACUUGAAGACACAGUAAUAAAAACCUUUCUACAUUUAAAGAAAAUUUUCUUAUUUCUUUAAAAGUGAACAGAAUGUCAGCGUCUAGUAGGACAACUUCACAAGACCCAAGAGACGUCUAACUGCAAUUCCUAAGGAGGAGAAAGAGAACACUAGAAGUAUUUGGAGAAAUAAUGACCAAAUGUCCCCAAAAUUAAUUUAAAAAAAACUAUGAGAGUAAACUCACAAAUCCAAGAAGCUCAACAAAUCUCAAGUGAAGAAAACUACACCAAGGCUCCAAACCAGAAAUAAAAUCUUUUUUUUUUUUUUACAGGCAGAGUGGACAGUGAGAGAGAGAGACAGAGAGAAAGGUCUUCCUUUGCCGUUCGUUCACCCUCCAAUGGCUGCCGUGCUGCGGCCGGCACACUGCGCUGAUCGAAGCCAGGAGCCAGGUGCUUCUCCUGGUCUCCCAUGGGGUGCAGGGCCCAAGCACUUGGGCCAUCCUCCACUGCACUCCCUGGCCACAGCAGAGAGCUGGCCUGGAAGAGGGGCAACUGGGACAGAAUCCGGCGCCCCGACCGGGACUAGAACCCAGGGUGCCGGCGCCGCUAGUGAGCCGCGGCGCUGGCCCCAGAAAUAAAAUCUUAAAAGCAGGCACCGGCGCUGUGGCAUAGCCUCUGUCGGUGGUGCCGGCAUCCCAUAUGGGCACCAGUUCAUGUCCCAGUUGCUCUUCCAGUCCAGCUCCCUGCUGUGGCCUGGGAAAGCAGUGGAGGAUGGCCCAAGUGCUUGGGCCCCUGCACCUGUGUGGGAGACCCAGAGGCGGCUCCUGGCUUCAGUUCAGCCCAGCUGCGGCCAUGUAGGGAGUGAAUCAGCAGAUGGAAGACUCUCUCUGUCUCCCCCUCCCUCUGUCUGUAACUCUACCUCUCAAACAAAUUUUUGAAAAAGAAAAAAAUCUUAAAAGCAGCCAGAGAAAAAUGCGUCAUGUACAAAGGAACUGAUGGAAGGAUGCGAGCUCCCCCACACUGAACCAUGCAAGAUGCUAGAGCAACAUCCUGAAAGCACGCAGAGGAAAACACAGCCCAGAGCCUUAGACCUGGCGGCAACCUGCCAAAAGCAAAGUCAAGGGGCCAGUGAUGUGCACCGGGUUAAGCCACCACCUGUGACAUACUGGAGCAACUGUCCCAAGUCCCCUCUGAUCCAGCUCCCUGCUAAUGCGCCUUGGAAGGCAGCAGCAGAUGGCCCAAGUACUUGGACCCCUGCCAGCCACAUGAGAGACCUGGAUGAGGCUCCGGACUCCUGGCUUUGGCCUGGCCCAGCCCCACAAGCCCCCCAGUCCCACAACCAUUUGGGGAGUGAACCCACAAAUGAAGAGCUCUGUUCCUUCUCUGUCAUUUCUGCCUUUCAAAUAAGUAAACUAAAUCUUUAAAAGAAAAGAAAAAGGUCAAGUAAAGAACUCAAGACUACCAAAGCUGAGGGCUGAAUGAAAUUGUGACCAGCAGACCCACAACAAGAAAUGUUAAAGGAAAACCCUUCAACUAAAAAGAAAAUGAAAAAAAAAGAAAAGAAAAAGAAAAUGAUACCAGAGAGAAACCCAGAUACACACAAAGAAAUGGAAGAACAUUGAAAAUGUUAUCAACAAUUAUGGUUGCUAUGGUUGUUAUUUAAAUCUCACUAAAAGAUAACUGACCACGGGCCAGUGCUGUGGCACAGUAGGUUAAAGCCCUGACCUGCAGCGCCAGCAUCCCUUAUGGGCAACAGUUCCAGUCCCGGCUGCUCCACUUCCCAUCCAGCUCCCUGUAAAGGCCUGGGAAAGCAGCAGAGGAUGACCCAAGUGCUUGGGCCCCUGCACCCAGAAGUUGUUCCCGGCUUCAGCCUGGCUCAGCCCCAGCCCCAGUCACGGCAGCAAUUUGGGGAGUGAACCAGCGAACAGAAGAUCUGUCUCUCUUUCUCUCUCUCUGUGUCUACCUCUCUAAUUCUACUUUUCAAAUAAAUAAAUAUCUAAAAAAAGAAAAAGAAAGUAUAAAAUUGGACCGGUGCUGUGGCAUAUCGGGUAAAGCCACCAUCUGCAGUGCUGGCAUCCUAAAUGGGUGCUGGUUCGAGACCCGGCUGCUCCACUUCCGAUCCAGCUCUCUGCUGUGGCCUGGGAAAGCAGGGGAAGAUGGCCCAAAGCCCCAGGGCUCCUGCACCCAGAAGAAACUCCUGGUUCCUGGAUUCAGAUCGGCCCAGCUCCGGCUGUUGCAACCAUUUGGGGAGUGAACCAGCCGACAGAAGAUCUCACACUCUCUCUGCCUCUGCCUCUCUAUAACUCCAAGUUUCAAAUAAAUAAAUAAAUCCUUUAAAAAAGGCAAUAUUUAAAAAAUGUAACUGAGCAUAUAAACAGAAAUAACAGCCGUGUGCUAGUACAGGAUUUAUAGCACACGUAACGUAAAACAUACGACAGCAGCGUGAAAGGCCAGGAGAGAAGCCAGCCCUGCUGCGCGGAGCCUCUGGCAGAUGACGACGCGGGUGGGAACGAUGAGCAACCACGGAAACUCACAACAGAGGUCAGCUCAUCAGCCAGCAAAGGUGACACGGAGCCAAGCGGAGUAAACUGUUCAGUAGCCCGAAAGGCAGACAAACAGGACAAAGGGAGCUGCGCAGAGGUCCGAGAGGUCGCUUCUCGGUAAAGGGGCCAAAUGGGGAAGACUUCGGACUCCGUCUCCACAGCUCAGAGCUUCGAGACCCCGGCCUGUGCACAGCUGUGCCUCUUGGGGCCUCGGCACACACCUCCGGCCCCAGGCCAUCCGCAGCCGUCUCAGCUCCCACACCCCCUUCUCAAUGAGGUCUUCCCGAAGUCCAACUCCCACCACACCCCUCCACAGCCACUACCGGGCUCCUCGGCCCCAGCACCCUCAUCUACAUCUGAAACGACCUUCGACGGCGGCUCCCUCGACGGCCUCCCUCACGCUGCCUCCCCGCUGCCCACAGACGGCCUGGCCCAGAGCUGGUGUUCGACGACGCUGACAGAAGGGGCGGGGGGGGGGGGGCAGGGGCAGCGGAGGCAGCCCGCUGGCCCAGAGCUGAAGGAAGAGAAACCUCCCCCCACCCCAGCCUGCCCGCUCCACUCACCCGUCCAUCGCCUCCUCGAUCUUCUUCUUCCUCAGCUCGAUGAGCUCGGGGGUCUCCAUUCCAGCGGGCACCGACGAGAACCCUCCUGGGGUGAUGAGGCCACUGAGGAGAGAGGAGUCAGCGCAGGGCCAAGAGGGAGCCCGCGGGGAGGGAGCCCACAGGGAGGGAGCCCGCGGGGACGCACCCCGCAGGGCCGCUGCGCCCACCUGUCUGCCGGCGUGAUGAAGCCCGUCUCAUCCGGCUUGUCUUCGUCGCUCUCCUCCUCUUCCUCUUCCUCCGAGGACUCCUCGUCUGAGGGCUCCAGCUCCCCCCAAGGGGUCCGAUCAAUCUCUUCUUCCUCAGUCUUGGUCUAGGAGAGAUCACUCAGUCAUUCAACAAAGGUUCACUAAGUGCUACCGCGUGCCACGCUGUCGUGAGUGGGAGGGGCACAAGUAGCCAGCCCCUGACCCGAGCUGGGCACAGCGCACUCUCACUGCAGCACAGAACACGCGCCCCCUCUUCACUCUGAGGAACACCCAGCACCAGGGUACUGACCUAUAGCGGCUGCCUCCAGCCAGCACCCUCAGGCCUGCGGGGACCCGGCCCGUACCUGAAAUUCAGCAGCGUUGGUUCCAAACACGUCCCCGUAGAGCGGCUUCCCGGUCUCGUCUACUGGGGGCUUGCCCCAGCCGCCGGCAUGGUACCCGAAGGAACAGCUCUGCAAGACGCGGGGCACAGUCAGCUCCACCGCUGAGCUCGAGACCGCCGCAGCCCUAGAGCAGUCACUCUUCCAAGGACUGAACGUGCGCUCAGGAGUCCGGAAACAGUGUGGAGAACCGAAUCCGCGGCCCCACGGCGGCACAGGGCGGUCAGAGAGACAGCACAGGCCGGACACUCCCCUGCACGGCGAGGCGAGGGCGGCCUCCGGCACUGGUACCUCCAAUUUCAUCUGAAGCUUAGCAACGCCACUUUUUUACUUCAAUGGCCUCACUUUUUUUUUUAAUUUACUGCCGUUUUGAAAUGUCAUGCUGUUGCUGAGAUGAAAUCGGAGCUGCCUGCCUACGACGCACGUGCGAGGCACAGGGAACGCGCCGCCUCGGUCGGUGUGGCUGUUUCUGCGCUCGCCGCAGCAGCAGACGGGGGAGCCCGGCGCGCGCCCGCACAAGCACGGCCGUGAGUUCACCACGUGUCCUACAAGCCCUGGGCGCGUCUGGUGACGAGCCUGCCGCUCGGCUCACCUCUGGGCUGCUAAUGCUGAGGGAACACUUUAUCGUGAGCGUGUCGCUUUUUUAAACCAGUAGAAUCUGUUACUUCCUUUUUGUUUUGUAACCAGAGUGGAGACGAGGAGAAGGACACAGAAACCCCCUCCGUGAGACAAGCAGAGGCAGCCAAGACCGAGAGCAGGGACGACACUCACCUCGGGGAUGGGCGAGUUCAGCCCGGGGAUUUUCAGGUUGGGGUACGAUGGGGGUGGUCCGUACCGCUGCAUGGCGAUCAGCCACGGGGGCGGGACCUUGUGGGCGUUCUGCAGCACGAGAGAACAGGAGAGCGUCUGCCUACCCUGCGCUGCGCCCCCGCCCCGCCCCGCCCCGCCCCCAGCCGACCAGCACUCACUGGUCCCACAGGCAUCCCCAGGGAAAUCCUGAGCUCGUCCGACAGGUCACCGGGCUUCUUCUCCUUCAGUCGCGUCUCGAACUCCUUCCCCUGGGAAUCAAGCAAAGGCUGCUAUUGCGGGGACACCACGCACGCACUGAGCUCCGUGGCAGGAGAGGCCAGGAGAGCAGAGAAGCCCCAACCACGUCAGACACAGAAUCCCAGGCCGCCGGACCGCUGCCCGCUCCCACCCUGACUCUCAUCACGUCGCUCCCCAGCAAGGGCAAGAAACAAGCACAAGGCCAGACGCUCAGGGCCUCCCUGACCACGGUGACAACGUGGCCAGCCUGCACCUUCCUCACCCGUCGGAUGAGCCCAAAAGCCUUCAAAACCCCCAGACUGCGGAUCACUACUUCAAGGCCAGAAAAGAAGAAACCUUCUCUCGCACUUCCAACGUUAAAUAUUCCUGAAAAUCACCCACCACUUGGCCCCUCUGUCCCUACGCCAACACACCACUCUGUAACUAUAACCACUCCAAAGACAUGGUGUGCAUUUUCCCACCAAAUGACCUGAUUUUAAAAAUUCAAAGUCCAGGGCUAGGCUGUGGGCCAGGCUUGUGGCAGAGUGGGUUAAGCUGCUGUCUGUGAUGCCAGCAUUCCAUAGCAGUGCAAGUCACGGGGCAGGUGCUGCGGCACAACAGGUAAGGCCACCGCCUGCAGUGCCAGCAUCCCGUGUGAGCGCCAGAUCGAGACCCGACUGCUCCACUUCCAAUCCAGCCCUCUCUAAUGGCCUGGGAAAAACAGAAGAAGAUGGCCCAAGUGCUUGGGCCCCUGCACCCACAUGGGAGACCCAGAAGCUCCUGGCUCCUGGCUUUGCCUGGCCCAGCCUUGGGUGUUGAGGUCAUUAGGAGUGUGGACCAGCAGAGAGAAGAGUGAUCCCUCUCUGUUUCUCCCCAUCUCUGUAACUCUCUUUCAAGUAAGUAACAUAAAUCUGUAAAAAAUACAUAAAAAUAACUUUCAGAUUCCGUCUCAUCCGAGACUAAGACUGUGGCGCCACCGACCCAGGGCUAACACCUUCUACCCGAAGGUUACGCAGUCAUGACUCCAAGGCCCAGCCCUCCACCAGCCCCCCAACCUCAUAGUACAGGUCCCCAUGGAUGGUCAGCUUCGGCUUCGUCUGCCACUUGAAGAAGGCGUCGUGCAGCUUCUGG